rnacentral:tRNA from 1 species
CCUUCCGAUAGCUCAGUUGGUAGCGGAGGACUGUAGGUACUUAAACUAGUCAUCCUCAGGUCGCUGGUUCCAUUCCGCCUGAAGGA